AAUGCUUGUGGAAAGAGAGGCACGAGAGAUUUGAGUCUGGGGGAAAAAAAACCCUCAGAGAAGUGGAGCAGAUGAUGAAACACUAUGUAUUCUCUUGCAGAGCAGCUACAGAGGUUGGGACCUUCCCCACGGAUACUUGUGUAUUUCCAAGAGCUCAGCAUCAUACCAAAACCUUGGGGGUAGGGAGAGCAACUGAAUGAUGAAGUCACUCAACACCAUUAGUGGUUUGACUCUACCAAUGGAAGCUGUGUCAUCCUGACAAGAAAUCAGCUGCUGCUUGAAACCUCUGACAUUGAGGACACUGUUCCUUCAGGAGCAGGAGCAAUCUUUAUCUGGAAGGUUGACGUCAGACACAUUACAUGUGGGACAAUAGGCUGCUGGUGCUGGUGCAGGGAUCAAGUCUCCUCACCUUCACACUUCCCUCCUCCUGCACUUUGUGGUACCUGUCUUCUGACUUCUGACCAGCUACCUUUCAUGGUGAAUCUGUUUGUUUCCUUAGCCCAUAUUUUUAUUGACAGCAUAUUCUAGCAGAUCCUUUUCCUAGAAUGUCUGUUUUCAUACAGUAUGUCAUUGCUUUCCUUCAUGUCGUUACAAACUCUGAGCUCUAAUGAUGUGGCAUGUGCCAGAACCCUCUUACUUCUCUCUGUUGGUUCCAG
rnacentral:lncRNA from 1 species